rnacentral:rRNA from 1 species
GACGAACGCUGGCGGCGUGCCUAAUACAUGCAAGUUGAGCGAUGAAGCUUGGUGCUUGCGCCAAUUUGAAGAGCAGCGAACGGGUGAGUAACGCGUGGGUAAUCUGCCUUUGAGCGGGGGACAACAUUUGGAAACGAAUGCUAAUACCGCAUAACAACUUUAAACAUAAGUUUUAAGUUUGAAAGAUGCAAUUGCAUCACUCAAAGAUGAUCCCGCGUUGUAUUAGGUAGUUGGUGAGGUAAAGGCUCACCAAGGCGAGGAUACAUAGCCGACCUGAGAGGGUGAACGGCCCAAACUGGAAUGGGGAAACGCCCAAAAUCCUAAGGGAGGCAGCAGUAGGGGAUCUUCGGCAAUGGACGAAAGUCUGAACGAGCAACGCCGCGUGAGUGAAGAAAGUUUUCGGAUCGUAAAACUCUGUUGGUAGAGAAGAACGUUGGGGAGAGUGGAAAGCUCAUCAAGUGACGGUAACUAACCAGAAAGGGACGGCUAACUACGUG